rnacentral:rRNA from 1 species
AACGAACGCUGGCGGCAUGCCUAACACAUGCAAGUCGAACGGGUACCUUCGGGUGCUAGUGGCGCACGGGUGCGUAACGCGUGGGAAUCUGCCCUUGGGUUCGGAAUAACUCAGCGAAAGCUGUGCUAAUACCGGAUGAUGUCGAAAGACCAAAGAUUUAUCGCCCGAGGAUGAGCCCGCGUUGGAUUAGCUAGUUGGUGGGGUAAAGGCCUACCAAGGCGACGAUCCAUAGCUGGUCUGAGAGGAUGAUCAGCCACACUGGGACUGAGACACGGCCCAGACUCCUACGGGAGGCAGCAGUGGGGAAUAUUGGACAAUGGGCGAAAGCAUGAUCCAGCAAUGCAGCGUGAGUGAUGAAGGCCUUAGGGUUGUAAAGCUCUUUUACCCGGGAUGAUAAUGACAGUACCGGGAGAAUAAGCUCCGGCUAACUCCGUG